GCUUGGAGGCGGAGACGGGACCCCCGGUGACGUCAGUGGGCCUGUCUGUUUCCUGCAAUAGAAAGUGAGGGAGAAGGUGAAGGCAGAAAACUGGAGCCGAACCCCCCCUCUUUCGUCGCUUUAAAGCGCCAGGGUGUUUCCUCAAAAAUCACACAGGAGAGAGCGAGAGAGAGAGAGAGAGGGAGAAAGAGAGGGAGGGUGAGACAGGCAAGGCUUGCUUUGCAGACAGACUGACAGGCAGACAGGCGUGCAUGUCUCCCUUCUCCACGUCGUCGGGAGCUGCUGUGGAGUGUCGCGUCCCCACCCCCAGGUGAGAGGAUUGUUUGUGUUUGCAUGGCGGGAGGAGGCGAGGGGGGGUCUUGCAAAUAAAGAUGGAUGGUACAAAAGCUGCAGAUGAUGCUCUCAUCCGAUGAUGUCAUCGCUCCGGCGCCACAUGUAGCAGCAAAGUGUAUGGAGAGAAAGAAGGGGGGGAGAAAAAAGAAAAAAAAGCAUCCACUUGUAGUAAAGUGUUAUGUAAUCACCGUGGAGGGCAGACAAAGGAAGCGCUGCAACGUGCAGGUGUUGCCGUGUCUUGACGGGGAAAAGCAUCAACAUCUAACAGGCGUAUCUUUUUUGUUGUUGCAGCUACUCGCGUGGAACCGGUUCACGUUCGCACGUCUGCUUUUUAAUAACAGUAGUAAAAAAUGUGCAAAUGAUGGCACACACGUGAUGAGAGUUGUCCUCUGUGUCACCCUAAGCGUUCAUCGCACAGAGCUUUUAUUGUGUGCAUCUUUCACUCUGGGCGAGCACCCACCCACAUGUCAAUCAGGCUGGUUCGGUCCCAAACUCCGGAGUGGCGGAUAGCGGCGGAAAAGUCACACCUCCACGGCCCCCGAGCGACACCGCAGAGGAGCCCCGAGGGGCACCUGUUUGAGGACUAUAACCUCAAUCGGCAGCUCUGUCCUGGACGAGCACGCAGCUGCCAAAUGUACGCCGAUGCCGCCGCCGUCACCCGCCACCUCGGGUCUCAGCUUCCCUCAAGGCUCGGCAGUAGAGGCCGGUUUUCCCAACAUGCACUUGUGAACUGAGGUGGGAAAGAUGCCGCGCACCAAGCAAAACAACCCGAAAAAUCUAAAAGAUAAAAUCGAAGAGGCGCAGAAAGAGCUUAAAGACACAAGCUCAACGAAAGGGACUUCUGGAAGCAGUCGACGAAUUGAAGAUAACAUCAAAGGCCUGAAGAGGAAAAAGGUUGUUGCGGAAAACAAGUUGAAGAAAAUUCCUAAGUCCCCGGUGAAGAAACCUCUACAGCUGAAAACUCCUGAAACUGCUGACCAAGGAGGAUCCUCUAGGGAAAAGAAAGCCUCUUGCUCCCCUGCUUCCAACAGGCCUUCCAAUCACCAUUCAACAUCACCGACUGGGGAAAGCGAGUCACAGGAUGCCCGACCGGUUGAACCACCCCCUGAAGAAGGGGUAUCCGUCACUGACCAUGAAAGACUGAAGCAAGAGGAAACAAAGCCAACGCCUCCGACACAGGAACCGGCUGAUGAAGAGGAGAGUUCUUUGAAAGGGACGUUACCUAAAGACAGUGACACCCAAAACUGUAGCGUUGAUACAACUGAUAAAGAUCCGUACCACACCAGCGCUCCACUUGAUGUCCUGCUGAAAGCGAUGGAGCCUGACAUGCUUACACUUGCCGAGAGGAAACAGUCUUUCCCAGUCUCAGGUCAGCACACUGGGGAAUUGUCCAACAUGCCAGCCGCCAAUGUUGGUCUUCAAACUCAGUCGUCUCCUAUGCAGACGUAUUAUAUUGACAAACAGGGUCAUUUCAUUGGCAUUGCAGCACCGUUACAGGGUAGUGUACAGGCAUCUAGGCAGGGUGAGGCUCUGCCGCCUCUAUCGUUUGCAAAUCAACAUUUUAUUCCCGUUGUUUCUAAUCCCGAAAAUCCAAGCAUUCACAUGAGCUUUAAUACUGGACCGCCUGCUAUGACUCAUGUACCUGCUCCAUCAGGCUCAAAUGCUUUGCCAAAAAGUCAACCCCCAAUUGUGCACACCUGCCGGUCGCUCUCUGCAACUGUUCCCAGCACCAUUCAGGUGCCAGUUACACCUGGGAACAACCAUGUUCAGCUUACGACUGUAAUGAACUUUGGCGGUGAGCAUGUUUCUAAGGACCAAAAGCCAAAGAAGCCCGGCAAGUAUAAAUGUGAGUACUGCCACCGGCCAUGUGCAAAGCCCAGCGUGCUGCUUAAACACAUCAGGUCUCACACAGGAGAAAGACCAUACCCGUGUGUAACCUGCGGUUUCUCUUUCAAAACCAAGAGCAACUUGUAUAAGCACAAGAAAUCCCAUGCUCACGCUAUAAAACUUGGUCUCAUUGCACGCUCUGAAUCAGGAGGUGGGCUGCUGCCACAAGAAUCCGACAAAGCCCUUGGAACACAUUGUGAGGUAGAGGAGAGCGGGGACAGCGAUGAAGAAGGUAGCACUGUAGACCUGGAUCCGGACUCAUCGCAGAGCAGUGCAGCAGCCUUGUCUGAAAAUAGCUCACAGAGUGCCGGUACAGCCCAAGCAAUAUUCGGGGAAGCGGACUCAUUAGCUGCGUUCGAUUCAAUGAAACCAACCCAUGCUCAGAGAAGUCAUGAGCCCAAAGUGACAGCUGCGCUGCCAAAAGUUGUUGUUUACCCAGUUAAUGUGUCGCCUUUAAGGGCAGAUAGCCCAAGAGUUACAGGUGCAGCGCCUGAACAAGCUGCGUCACAGCGCCAACGAGAGUUCCCAACUGCCAAUCUGAGAUCAAACAUCACGGUCCUCUCAUCGCUGAAAGAGGUAGUUGGUACAAGUCCUUCACUCGAUACUGUGAGUGAAGAUGAAGACCAGCAAUGUAAAUCUCCACUUUUAAGUGGACAUGCCCAGCUUCAGAGGCAACAAGCUACAGACGUUUCACAACAGCAACAGGCUAAGUGUCUACUAAGCCCUCGUAGUUUGGGAAGUACAGAUUCUGGCUACUUCUCUCGCUCUGAAAGUGCUGACCAGGCUAUGAGUCCACCUAGUCCAUUUGUGAAGAUAACACCACCAGCUGACAUUGAUCUAUCCAAAAAGGAUAUGUCUUCUGCCCCUCCUGUAAUUUCUACAGUAAUGCGUGCGGUAGCAGAGCAAAGAUCGCAAGUAACGGAUGGACAGAUGCGUCCCCCGUUAGAAACUAAAACCCUUUCUCUGGAAGAAAGAAUUUCAAAGCUGAUAUCUGACAAUGAGGCAGUGGUUGACAACAAGCAAUUGGACAGUGUUAAACCAAGGAGGACCUCUCUGUCAAGGAGAGGUAGCAUUGACUCUCCCAAAUCCUACAUAUUUAAAGACUCCUUUCAGUUUGAUCUUAAACCAAUAGGACGGCGGUCAAGUUCCAGCUCAGACAUUCCCAAGUCGCCUUUCACUCCCACAGAUAAAUCAAAGCCAGUUUUUCUUCUUUCUGUACCUUCUCAAUACCCCCCAAUGGAUUGUUUGCCGAUUACAAGGAGUAACUCUAUGCCGACAACACCAGGACACUCUGCUCUUCCAUUUAAUAUUGCUCACCUGGCCCACCCUUUACGAAUAUGUCAUUCUUUUGAUGAGAAAAGUACAAUAAACGAUGACGUAUUUUCAUCCGCACCUUCUACCCCCAAUCCAGCAAUACAUUCUCGGACUUUAGUCAGACAAGCAGCAGUGGAGGACUUUUCCACCAGUGAGGGGCACAGACUUCCUACCGUCCGCUCGAUGGAUGAUGCAUAUCAUGCUCUAAACAAUAGCACAGAAUCAAUGCAGAGAAGUCGGUCUUUUGAGUACAGUCAAGAAAGACAAAGAAAAUUUCAGCAAAAUAAAGGUACUAUGUAUGAGUGUGAAACUUGUCGAAACCGGUACAGAAAGUUAGAGAAUUUUGAAACUCACAAGAAAUUCUACUGCUCGGAACUUCACGGGCCAAAACACAAGCCUGUUGUUGUUAAAGAAAGUGAUCAAGAUGUUUUUCAUGCCAACACACAGACACAUUUAGUUCCAAGAUCAGCUAUUGGAUCAGGAGUAAUGGAUCACCAGAUAUCAAUCAGGAAGAGAAGGAAAAUGAAAAGUGUUGGAGAUGAGGACGAUCAAUCUCCAACUGACACAAAUCCACCGUGUUCGGUUAGUUUUGAUUCAGGCCAGUUACCUGUAACAGCCCUGGCAAGUCAAAGUUUUCCCCAGCAUGGUGUAAUGGUGGACAUUCAACCCAAAAUUAACCAGGCAAAGCCACCUCAAAUUCAGCUCAUAGCUCGAGGUCAAAGUGCUUCAGAUUCUAGACUGUCACCAAUCCGAGAGACACAGAUCAACACCUGCACGAAAGGGGAACUCCAGAGGCAAAGCAGUGGUACUUCAGUCAUCAGACAUACCAACUCUCUCAGCAGACCCAGUUCAUUUGAGACAGAAUCUACAGAAAAAGGUUCUCCUCUGGACAGCAACGAAAAGGAUCCUCUGAAAUCCAAAAAAGAUACAUCAUCAGAUAACAGCUACCAUGACAAGUUAUCAAACCAGAAAACUAUAGAAGCUGAUUAUGGUAAUCAAAGAAUGGAGCAAUCUACUGAUGGUACAGUGGCUGCAACUGGGGAAAUCUCUACACCUUCCCAUCAGUGCCGUCUAGUUCGUCAAAACAACAUCCAAGUUCCUGAGAUUUUAGUCACAGAGGAACCUGACAGAGAACACGAAGCACAGACAUCUGAGCCAACAGAAAAGCCCGCAGAUCAGUUCAACUGGCCACAAAGAAGCGAGAGUUUGUCAAAGUUACCGACUGAAAAACUCCCACCAAAAAAGAAAAGAAUUCGUCUUGCUCAAAUGGACCACUCCUCAGGCGAAUCAAGCUUUGAGUCGAGUCUCUCACGCAGCCUGAGCAGAGAUAGUACUCUCUCACACUGUUCCAGCAUUUCAGCCUCCUUUGACAGAGAAGAAGCAUCACGGUCAGAGAGUCCAUCAAGAGUAGAAUGUAUGAACAAAAUUCCAGAGCAGCUAAGUCAACCCAAAGUAUUCAGUACGCUAGGUGUACCUGGAGCAAUGAGGCGAGCUGCAUCCGAACAGAUUACCUGUACCCAACCCUCAGUGGAAAUUUCAUGUGACUACCGUAGCAAGUCUUUUGACUGUGGAAAUGUAUCCCCCAAGAGAGGCCCAUCACCUAUUGGGCAGCCUAAAUGUGGACCAAUCCAGGUUCCACUUAUUGAAAGAAGGCGUGGCCCAUUAGUUCGUCAAAUGUCUUUAAAAAUAUGCCCAGAUAAUCAGCAGCCUGUACGGAAGGCUGUCAUCACCCUCGACAAAGCUCCAAAUACAAAUGCAAACCAAAAUAGAUGCCAGCAAAUUCAAAUUGUCAAUAGAUUUCCCUUGGCCCAACCUGUCGUCCUACAAUCUGGAGAAAUUCCCCUGCAAAGAAAUGAGCAAACGAUCCAAAGUAUCAACCUGGGGAGCACAACACAGCAAACCCAAAUCUAUGGCCUUCCACACCCUUGGCAUCAAACAUCUAAAAUGCAAACCUGCCAAAGGGUACCGCAACCUUUGAGCCAGAUCAUAGUUGGUGGUGACAAUGCCCGAAACAAGCCAGCUGACGUAGAAGAAAACAAAUGUUAUGUGCCCAAAUACCAAUUGCCGUGUCCUACGCAAAGACCAAGUCAAAUGUUUUCUUUCACCAGCACACACGGAUCUCACGUCGCAUUGCCAGCUUUAACAAUGCCCAUCGCCAAUCCGAUUUUGAGCAUUCCAAAACCAUCGGAUGAACUCAGAAAAGUGUAUACCGCUCCACCCGAUCAACACGCCUCUGAUGUUAAGAACACAUCUGUUGUUUUGCAUGGUGAACAGAGGAGGGAGUCAAACAAUCACCUGCAAUCAGGUGGUAUUCCAUUGCCACAGAUCCUCAUAACUCAUGAGCAAAUGCACACUGCUCCUACUGUCUCUGGCAAAAAUGCAUUUCCAUCCAUUCAUCUUGUAGAUACUGAAACUCAUACUGCACCAAGUGUAAAGAAGGGUUGCACUCAAUUUGUUAAUAUUAAUAACAAUAGUGGGGAAAGAGUGUCGUGUCCGGGCUCUUUACAUUGCACACAGAAACUUGCGUCAGUGACUCUAUGCCCACAACAGGAGCCCAUUGCUUCAAGUAAAAGAAUGCUGUCACCUGCCAACAGUUUGGACAUCUACAUGGAAAAGCAUCAAAAACGAGCUAAGGACGAGCACGGUGUGGCCUGCCUGACCGACGGAAGAUCUGUCAAUUAUCUCAAUUCCAACUUGUCGGAAGUAACCAGACAGCGGAAACUGACGCUUGUAAGGCAGGUUUGCACAACUGAACCAGUGGACAGUCCUAUCGAAACCGAGGCCCCUCCCUUUCCUCAAGUUAAGACGGAUACUGAGAAGGACCUUGAUGAUGUUAAGCCUAUGUCACCUGACAGUACCAGUAUUGAAAAAGACGCAAGCAAAGUUAUUCCCGAAGAAGCCGGCCGUGCUGUAAAUACUUCACCUGAUCGCCAGGCUUCCCCUAUGCCAGCUAAUAACCCUCAGAAGACGCCACAGAAAAUGGAGGAGCAGAGGUGGAAUCCCAGCAAAUCGCCAAUCAGACCCUCGAGUUUCCAUGGUGGUCAAGUAAAACUGACUACAUCCGUGUCCGUGUUUAACACAAAAGACAGCCAUCGCCUUUCCUUCCCCAGCCUGAAGACGACCACCACUUUCACGUGGUGCUUCUUGAUGAAGAGAAAACCACUUCACGUGCUACAGAGUGACCUGAAGACUUCAGCUUACGCUGCAUGGGCAGUCAACCCAAACAAUCCGAACCCACUUGGGUUGCCCACAAAGGUGGCCAUGUCCCUUCUUGACUCCAAACACACCUCCAAAAAAAUCCACUACACUUCUGCUAUCAAAACCACUGGGAAAUCGGACAUCUUGUCUUACUCGGGCAAGCUCAAAGAUGUCAUGCCAAGGGUGCCAUUGAUCCAGAAGACUUUAUCAGUGGAAAGCAGGAGUAAAGUGCAAAAAGAAACUCAUUCAAGCAAUGAGUCAGACAAGGAGGUGGCAUCAAAAACAGAACCAAGGCGGAUCAAAAUCUUUGACGGCGGAUACAAAUCCAAUGAAGAGUAUGUUUACGUACGUGGGCGAGGGCGCGGUAAAUACCAGUGCGAGGAAUGCGGGAUCCGCUGUAAGAAGCCCAGCAUGUUGCGCAAACAUAUUCGUACCCACUCUGAUGUUCGGCCAUACCACUGCAUCCACUGCAACUUCUCCUUCAAGACCAAAGGGAAUCUCACCAAGCACAUGAAGUCCAAGGCACACAGUAAGAAAUGCUUGGAGAUGGGCGUGCCGAACGUACUCACCGAAGACCAGGAUGCAGAGGAUUCAGGAGACCGCAGUCAGGUGAGCAGUGCCGACCGCCAAGAUUCGGACGGCGACGACUCUGACGGCCCCGAUGAGGACGACAACGAGGACGAGGAAGAGGAGGACAGCCAAGCCGAGUCGGGCCUGUCCACAAACCCCUCGGUCUCCGCCAGCCCGCAGCAUGUUCCAUCUAAGGAGGCCGAGGUGCCCCCCAGUGCCCUCCUGGCGCAGAUGUCCAUCAGCUCCCUGUCGCAGACCCCGGCCGCCCAACCCCGGGCAUCAGACUCGCCGUCCGUCCCCGUGGUCAACCCUUUGUCGCUGAGUAAGCAGAUGUCCAUCUCGGGGUCCUGUCCCAGCCUGGCGCCGCUCUGCUGGGGUUCCCUCCCGCCCGCCAGCGCCGACUGCAACCUCUCGGACACGGAGUCGGUGCACAUGAUGAGCCCCGUGUCGCCGUGCCGGCAGAUGUCCAUCGACUUCGACGUGCCUCCCAGCCCGCCGGUGACGGGGACGGCCUUCAGACCGAGCCAGGCGCCCGCUUCUGCCGCUCAUCCUAUGGCGCCGACGGAGUCCGGCUCGCCGGUGGACCGCGGCACUCAGACCUCCACUUCGCAGAGUCCCACCCACGUCCCGCUCCCGGUUCUGUGUCCAGCCCCGCGGAUGGCGACGCACCUCUUCAGCCACCUGCCCCUGCACUCCCAGCAGCCCCUGCGCUCGCCUUACAGCAUGAUCCCCGUGGGGGGCAUCCAACUGGUGCCCGCCGGACUGGCAGCUUAUUCCACCUUCGUGCCGAUUCAGGCCGGCCCCGUUCAGCUCGCCAUCCCGGCGGCGGCCGUCAGCGUCAUCCAUAGAAACGGCAGCCCGGCGCCCGACUCGGCCGACUCCCAGGGUCGGACUCUGCAGCCCCUCGGUUUAAUGUCCCCGCUGCUGCCCCAUCCGGGGGUCGCCCUGCAGGUCCUCGCCGCGUCCCAAAGCCCCCAAACGCACGUCCCUGGCCUGCAGAUCGUGAACAUCGCCCUGCCCGCCGUCAUCCCCGCCCUCAGCCCGAUCCCCGCCCCCAGUCCUGAGCGGCGAGGGAGCCCCGACGCUCUCAGAGCGCCGACAGAAACCCCCCCGGGUCGCACGGCCACACCCACUCCCCCGCCCGCACCCGUCACCUCCGGCCUCGCACAGACACCAAAAAGCCCAGCACGUAGCGCGGCGUCCCCCAACGCCGCACCGAAGACCGCGCCCCCGGUGUCCAACUGGCCGACGGUGGUCGACGACUACAACGAGGUUUCUAGCGACGACGAGGACAGACUCGUUAUUGCCACCUGAGACCCCCCCCCCCCCCCACUUUUUUUUCCCCACCAACUGUCACUUUAAAACUGAAAAACACUUUCUUGACAAAUCACCUUUGAAAGCACAGAUGUUCAUAUUGUACGUGAUGACCAAUCCUUCGCUUCGUCAGCUCCGGGAAGUCCUUUUUUUUUUUUUUUUUUUUUUUUUUUGUACAUGUUGUAUAGACGAUCGUGCCUUGAUGGAGUUUGUUGUUGAGGAACUUGUACAUAACUCGUUGCUGGUGUUUAUAUACAUACAUACAGUAUAUUAUAUAUAUAUAUAUAUAUGUAUAAAAACAAAAGGCGGUAUAACAACGGACUAUAUUGGUUUUAUUCAAAAUGACUUGUCGUACUGGUAUAUGUACAUUUCUAUGGAUUAUGUGUACAAAUGUUGUGUUCAGCUAUUUAUUAUAUUCCAUCUAGUGCCCGUUUAUGAUUUAUUGGUCCAUAGCUAUGUGCAUUUUUGGUAGCUUGACAUUGCUGUAUCCAUUCUUCUAAACUGUACGAGUAAAGACUUCUCUACAAACAAGCUAUUAUGAACUCUUAGGAGGGGUCCUCUUAAUCCGGGGGUCGGCAACCCGCGGCUCUGGAGCCGCAUGCGGCUCUUUAGCGCCGCCCUAGUGGCUCUCUGGAGAUUUUUCAAAAAUGUAUGAAGAAUGGAAAAAGAUGAGGGGAAAAAAAUAAAUUUUUUUGUUUCAGAAUGUUUUCUGUGGGAGGACAAACAUGACAUAAACCUCGCUAAUUGUUAUAAAUCACACUGUUUAUAUUAAACAUGCUUCACUGAUUCGAGUAUUUGGCGAGCGCCGUUUUGUCCUACUAAUUUUGGCGGUCCUUGAACUCGCCGUAUAGUUUGUUUCCAUGUAUAACUUUCUCCGACUUUCUAGGACGUGUUUUAUGCCACUUUUUCUAUCUCAUUUUGUCCACCACACUUUUAACGUUGGGCAUGAGUGCACAAAGGAACGGGAAGGAUGAAAGUGAGUGUAAAGGACAAUAAUGAGAAGAAGAAGUGGAUGAUAUUCAUUGAAUUGAAGAAAGAAAUCAUCCAAAACAUGCCCGAGGGUGUCGACGACUUCAAGCGUACUCAUGCCAGUCUGCACCAUACCGAAGCAGGAGGAGUCGAUAGCGCCAGCCAAGUAAGUAAUAAUUACGUCUAAACGGCGGACAUUUAUCCAUGAAAAUAUGGAAAAGCUGCUGAUGAUGUAUUUGACGGAGAAGGAGACACCACUUUCCAAGGGAAUGCUGUACAAUAUUA